rnacentral:tRNA from 2 species
GGGGUCGUAGCCUAGCCUGGUAGGGCGACAGUGUAUACGAUAGAUCACCGCUAAGGGCUCCAAAGGUAAACUAAGCUAAACUGACUCACGGAUGAUGUAAGUUUGGAGCUGUAGUGACCCGUAGGUCGCCGGUUCGAUUCCGGUCGGCCCCA